GGUGCUCAUCCAAGUGGCACCAGAAAAAUACCCAGCCUUACAGUACUCAGCAAGGCUACUUUCUCCACAUCCUCCCUUUCUCUUCAUAGUCUGGGAAUAAGCACUGCUGUCACUAAUAAAAUAAAUUUUGGAGCUCCGUUGAGGAUAAGCUAAAUAUCAGCAUUUGCAUGACUGGAUCAUCACAAGAGCAGCAGAACUAAUGGUAAAAAUCAUUAGCGUCCAUUCAAAAAGCAUGAGCCUUUGGGAGGAGAAGGAAGCAGGAAGCUCCUGUAAGUGCCCAGCGGAUCACAGUCCUGCACACAUCCUUCCCUGAUAUGGCAUGCAGAAAGAGGGAUAUAGAGUGCAGGCAUGAAUCUCUUUUUUCACGUGAAAUGCUAAACUUUCUGAUUAU
rnacentral:lncRNA from 1 species